GUAGGGAACUGAAAGGGACCGACCUUCGGGAGCCUAUACAGGUGUUGCAUGGCUGUCGUCAGCUCGUGUCGUGAGAUGUUCGGUUAAGUCCGCUAACGAGCGCAACCCUCGUCGUAUGUUAUAUGUGUCAUACGAGACUGCCGGUAAAAAGCCGGAGGAAGGUGAGGAUGAUGUCAAGUCAGCAUGACCUUUAUAUCCAGGGCUACACACACGCUACAAUGGUCUGUACAAUGGGUAGCCAAGCCGCGAGGCGGAGCCAAUCCUGAAAGCAGGCCUCAGUUCAGAUUGCAGUCUGCAACUCGACUGCAUGAAGCCGGAGUUGCUAGUAACCGCAGGUCAGCAAUACUGCGGUGAAUACGUUCCCGGGUCUU
rnacentral:rRNA from 1 species